GGAGGGGGCUGCUGGUUUACCUGAACGAGGAGGAGGGGGAGCAGCAGCCGGAGGGGGAGGUCAGCUGCGCAUCGUCAAGGUGAGGAAGACCCGCAAAGCCUGAAGCAGAACCGAACCGGAACCUGCAGGACGGCGCGUAAAGGAGAAGUUGGAGGUCCUUCCCACCUUUGACCUGAAGAGCGGAUCCGUUUGGGAUUUCUGAAGUUCUUCCGUUGAUCUUUUCCCUUCAGUCGAAACCCGGAGGAUUCAGAAUUCCAGACUGAAGGAUUCCUAAGGAGGAAAAUCUUUAAAACCCUUUCUGCUUUUAUUGGGCGUUCCUGACUCUCCGGUCCGGAUCGGGCUUUCUCUUCAUCCUCUCGCCUGGAGGAAAUGGAUCUGUCUCCAUGGAUACAGAGGACAGGAAGUUGACGAUGGCGGGAAUGGAGGCUGACAGACGGAGGAGGGAGGAGAUGUCGUGGAAGAGGAACGGCGGCGGGAUGCCACCUCGCCCCGUGACCUCCAUCGCCCCCAGCAAAGGGCUGAGCAACGAGCCGGGCCAGAACAGCUGCUUCCUGAACAGCGCCCUGCAGUCAGGAGGAGCUCCGGGCUCGGCGGUCUGAGCUGAGCCGAGGCGGCGGAGCAACAGGAGGCUGCGGCGUGACGAUAAGGAGGCGCAUUGAGCAGCUGAGGCCGUCGGAGCCCUGGAGGUCCUCCUGCUCGUCGGAGCCGCUCAGGAACAGAUGGUCCUCCUCCGAAAACUCCCAGAGCCAAAGCUGUUUGACGACUCCACGCAGGGAGUCCUGACCUGUGCUGAGGGCACCUGAACGCCCCGUCCUGAGGGCACAUAUUGUACCAGCGGGGAGGUAGAGUGAGGGCGGGGGGAGGCGGAAGGAGAAGUGCCGACGCAGCAGAUUCCUCAUCGCUGCUGUGCUACGUUGGUGUUGUGGUUCUUCUGUCUUUGUGUUGUUUUUGUGUCGCUGCGGUACGACUCUGAAGCUCCGGGGUUGUGACAACCCCCCACCCCCACCUCCACACAAUUAAAUAAAUAAAGUUAAAGUCUCACAUCAGAAAUAAUCAUCAGAUUUCAACAUCCAGAAAACGUUUCUUCUGUCCUGAAUUAAAAAAAUAUACUUCUAGACUUCUGUUAUUUGAAGUGUGGAAGUCCUUGAGACAACAAAACCCCAGAUAUUUAUUUUAUUUUAUUUUAUCUAGACACGAAAACCCCAGACUUUUUUUAUUUUAUUUAGACCAGAAAAUCUCAGAAUUUUAUUUUUGUUUGUUUAUUUUUUUUUA